AGCCAUGUGAGUCAUUGUAGCAAUACAAGGCAGACGGCUCAGUAACACGUAGCCAAUCUAACCUAUGGACGGGGAUAACCUCGGGAAACUGAGGAUAAACCCCGAUAGAUCAUUAUGCCUGGAACGGUUUAUGGUCCAAAUGAUUCGUCGCCGUAGGAUGAGACUGCGGCCUAUCAGCUUGUUGGUGAGGUAAUGGCCCACCAAGGCUAUUACAGGUACGGGCUCUGAGAGGAGAAGCCCGGAGAUGGGUACUGAGACACGGACCCAGGCCCUAUGGGGCGCAGCAGGCGAGAAACCUUUGCAAUGUGCGCAAGCACGACAAGGUUAAUCCGAGUGAUUCCUGCUAAAGGAAUCUUUUGUUAGUCUUAAAAUCACUAUUGAAUAAGGGGUGGGCAAGUUCUGGUGUCAGCCGCCGCGGUAAAACCAGCACCUCAAGUGGUCAGGAGGAUUAUUGGGCCUAAAGCAUCCGUAGCCUGCUCUGUAAGUUUCCGGUUAAAUCCAUUAGCUCAACUAAUGGCCUGCCGGAAAUACUGUAGAGCUAGGAAGUGGGAGAGGUAGACGGUACUCGGUAGGAAGUGGUAAAAUGCUUUGAUCUAUUGAUGACCACCUGUGGCGAAGGCGGUCUACCAGAACACGUUCGACGGUGAGGGAUGAAAGCUGGGGGAGCAAACCGGAUUAGAUACCCGGGUAGUCCCAGCUGUAAACGAUG
rnacentral:rRNA from 1 species